GUGCUUGCUUCGGCAGCACACAUACUAAAAUUGGAACAAUACAGAGAUUAGCAUGGCCCCGGGCAAAGAUGACACGCAAAUUUGUGAAGCAUUCCAUACGUGU
rnacentral:snRNA from 1 species